AAGGGCACCACAAGAACGCGUGGAGCAUGUGGCUUAAUUUGACUCAACGCGGGAAAUCUUACCGGGUCCGGACACACUGAGGAUUGACAGGUUCUAUCGUGCCCUCGGGCACGUGUCAAAUAUGCUAGUCCUUUCAUGAUUAUGUGAUAGGUGGUGCAUGGCCGUUCUUAGUUCGUGGAGUGAUCUGUCUGCUUAAUUGCGUUUCACAUUGAGUCUGUACUAAACGUGCGUUUGUGAGAUGGUUUGAUCCCUGCUCUGCAGUUGUGCGUCUCUCCAUCACCAUCACAUCGUACAAAUCAGGCUCUGAAAGCAACGAACGUGACCG
rnacentral:rRNA from 1 species